CUGACGGGAGUGGAGUCCGGCCGCGGCGGCGUCCACUCCAAGGCCGGCCGCCAGAGGGCGAGCGCGCCCGGGACCCCGGAGGCUUCCGCUCCCCGGUGGCGUCGGCGUCUCGGUCCCCACCAGAGCAGGUCAGGCCUCCGGGUUCCGUUUCCCAAGCACACAGGAGAGAGUGCCGGGGGCGGCCGCGAGACCUCACGGGACCCCACGCCCGCGUCCCGGGCAGUUCCCCCGGGGGUUGGGUCCCGCGGCCGGGGCAGCGGAGCCCGGCGCUUCUCGGCGAGCGCCGCGGGGCCCUUCGGCGCCCCCGUUUCCUCGUUGGUGGGGGACGCGGUGCCGCUUCUCCGCGCGCUAAACUGCAGAAGAAGGGGCGAGUUCCUGCGGCCCCUCCCUGUCCCGGCCGCGCCCCCACCUCCCGGUCGCGCUGAGCGUUCCUCGCGGGGCCCCGGGGCCCCGGGGCCCCCUGACGCCCCCUUCCCGCCAGUGCCCCGCCCCGCCGCGAUCCCACAGGUGGGGUGGACGGCGCCCCCUCUGUUUCACGGGCGUCACUCUCAGCCGGAGGAGCGGGACCUGUCGGUAGUUGGGCCGGAGCUCAGGCUUCCCGGCCCUCGCGGCCUCCUGGGCGCCUCCCCCGGGCGCACCCUCUGGGCCUGGCAGGGAGCGCAGCCUGGGAGUCCGGGCGCCCGGAGCCCACCUGCUCAGCGCCCACCGCGGCGGCCGCGCCCUUCCCCCGGGAGCAGCGGGGACGGCCUUGGAGCAGUCGCUCCCGCAGGGGGAGAAACUGCGCGGUGGCCGGAGGCGCAGGAGCCCGUCCCCCUGCUCGCCCAGGGCCGCCUCGGGGAAGCGCCGGAUUCGCAGCUUCCUUCUCCAGCUCCGCGCAGCCCGCACGGAACCUUAGCUAGGCCCAGGGCAGGGGACGCAGCCGGGACGCAGCCAGGCUCUGCCGGGUCUCCCCGCAGGUGGCGGAGCUGCACCCCUGGCUGUGCACCGCCCUCCCCCGGCGUCUGCUCGGACCCUUCUCCACCUCGGGCCCCACCCGCUCCGGGUUAG
rnacentral:lncRNA from 13 species